rnacentral:rRNA from 1 species
AUGUAUUCGUUUCUUGAGAAAGAUCUUGCUGGGUGUGAUUACCGAUGGAUUUGGAAAGCCAAAUUACCGAUAAAAAUUCAGAUCUUCCUAUGGCAACUAUUCCAAGAUGCCGUAUUAAUCAGAGAUGUUAUGAAGCGUAAAAAUUGGGUGGGUGACCUCCGUUGUUCGUUUUGUGAUUGCAGAGAGACUUAUACUCAUCUGUUUUUUCUCUGCCCUGUGGCCAGGAUUGCCUGGCGCACAGUUGGGGCGGUCCUUGGUACGGAUUUAUGUCCUAAUAACAUAUGUCAAUUCUAUUCUUGGUGUUAUGCUUUCCUACCCAGUGGGGAACGCUACUUCACUAUGGGAUUAGCGGCUAUAUAUUGGGCUGUCUGGAAUUGUAGAAAUCGGGCCACUUCUGAACAUAAGAAGAUGGCAUCUCCUUUUGAGAUUGUUUUCACAGCUUGUGUGCAUCUCAAUUAUUGGGCAGGUCUCCUGAAGAGCGCGGACCGAGCGGAGCUGGAGCACGGGGCGCUGAUGCUGAAGAUACUGCUAAGAAGAUGA